rnacentral:rRNA from 1 species
CCUACGGGAGGCAGCAGUGGGGAAUAUUGCACAAUGGGGGAAACCCUGAUGCAGCGACGCCGCGUGAGUGAAGAAGUAUUUCGGUACGUAAAGCUCUAUCAGCAGGGAAGAAAAUGACGGUACCUGACUAAGAAGCCCCGGCUAACUACGUGCCAGCAGCCGCUGUAAUACGUAGGGGGCAAGCGUUAUCCGGAUUUACUGGGUGUAAAGGGAGCGUAGACGGCAGCGCAAGUCUGGAGUGAAAUCCCAUGGCUUAACCAUGGAACUGCUUUGGAAACUGUGCAGCUAGAGUGCAGGAGAGGUAAGCGGAAUUCCUAGUGUAGCGGUGAAAUGCGUAGAUAUUAGGAGGAACACCAGUGGCGAAGGCGGCUUACUGGACUGUAACUGACGUUGAGGCUCGAAAGCGUGGGGAGCAAACAGGAUUAGAUACCCCUGUAGUC